rnacentral:tRNA from 1 species
GCCGCCGUAGCUUAGCCUGGUAGAGCAGCUGAUUCGUAAUCAGCAGGUCAAGGGUCCAAAUCCCUUCGGCGGCU